rnacentral:rRNA from 1 species
GACGAACGCUGGCGGCGUGCUUAACACAUGCAAGUCGAACGGUGAGCCUCUUCGGUUGGGAUCAGUGGCGUACGGGUGCGUAACAGGUGGACAACCUGCCCCCGGCCCUGGGAUAACUCCAAGAAAUUGGGGCUAAGACCGUAAGUUCACCGCUUCCCGCAUGGGUGGUGGUGAAUAGGGUUUGCGGCUGGGGAUGGGCGCGCGGCCUAUCAGCUUGUUGGUGGGGUAGUGGCGUACCAUGGCGACGACGGGUAGCCGGCCUGAGAGGGUGACCGGCCACACUGGGACUGAGACACGGCCCAGACUCCUACGGGAGGCAGCAGUGGGGAAUAUUGCGCAAUGGGCGGAAGCCUGACGCGGCGACGCCGCGUGGGGGAUGACGGCCUUCGGGUUGUAAACCUCUUUCGGCAGGGACGAAGCGGAAGUGACGGUACCUGCAGAAGAAGCACCGGCUAACUACGUG